AGCGAGGGUACUAAUUUGCCCCUUCCAUCAAAUUCCACCGCUCUGGUCGCUCCCAAUUCCGACGCCGCUGUCUCCCCUCAAAUUCUCGCAUGGAAUGCGCCCGAUCGAACGGCAGUGCGGCGGUCGAUGGCGGUGACGGCGAGGGGAGUCGGGGCAGGGCAGGCGGACGCGUCGAUUGCGCUACCGUUAGGAUGCGGCGGUGGCAGCCGCUUGAGAGGGGAAGAGGUGUUUCCAGUUCGAGAACUAGGAGCACGGAGAGGGAUGACGCGUCUUCUUCUUCAUCCUCUUCCUCCCGUCAGCGGACGCAGCGGACAGGGAUGCGCUUGAGGAAUAGACACCGUAGCCUUUGGGCGCCUCGUGUUGGCCGUGGUAACGAGGGUCUCGAGGAUCUCGCUCUUCCGCUUGGCAUGUCCUUUGCUGCCGUCGUUGCGCAGAUUUUGAAUGGCAAGAACAUCUCAGGAAGGAGGUCACAGAUAAAUCAUUUUUCCAUGAUUUGUACUUCAGCAGUUAAAGAAUCUAUAACAAAUAUAUACGGCAAUAAGUUUGACUAUUUCAUAAGAAACUUUGAUAAGUCGUUCCAGAGCACAUUGAAGACCCUAUGUCUGAUUAACAAAGCAUCUAUUACUAAGCAAGAAAAUACUGAUUGCAGUUUUUUCACAUGCAGUAGUAGUGAAUAUACACCUGAAUUAGCCAAUCCUGAACCUGUCAGUGAAGUUGAAAAUCUCCAAGAAAAUAUGCCACUGAGUUCUAUGAGCUAUCAACUUAUUCCUUAUGGGCAGGAAAAUCAGCAUCUUGCAAAUAUUUAUCACGGCACAUCUAAUCAUAGGUUCAGUCAUUCUAUUCUGGAUACUUAUGAGAGAUCUGUUGUUGAGCAGACACGCUCUAAUGACCUGAAAACUGUUGAGAUAGGUCUAGUCAUGGAAAAGUUGAAACUAAAGCAAUCCCAAUUAGCCCUUAGUUCCGAUGCAAAUUUGUUGGAGAAAAUAAAGAUAUCCAUGGGUAUCUCAAAGGCUUCCUUUAAAGAAGAGAAAUUAAGGAAUCAAAUGCUGGAGACCAGGCAUGCAGAACUCUUGAAGAGAUGCAUUGAUCUCCUAGUCACUGGGUUGAUUAUAAUGUGUGGCUUUCUUCUCUAUGGAGCAUCAAUUUAUUCCUUACAACGCAUCACAGAGGUGACAUCUGCCUGCAAUUACACUCUUAAGGAUUCCAGAUCGUGGUGGAUCCCGAAAUCAGUUCAGUCUUUUAGUUCAGGGUGGCUAACACUGAGAUGUCAUUUUGUGGUCCUGACCCGCAUGUGUUUUGGAAUAUUGAUGAUUUUAGCGAUUGCUUACUUGGUUUUUCAACGCUCGGCAAUGUCAGGUCCAACUAUGCCUGUGACUUUUUUGGUUAUGCUAUUGGGAGUUGUUUGUGGCUUUGCUGGUAAGCUAUGUGUAGACACAUUAGGUGGGAGUGGUUACCAUUGGUUAAUUUAUUGGGAAGUUCUCUGUAUGCUUCAUUUCUUUGCCAAUGUUUUCCCAUCUGCAUUUCACAAUAUUCUUUAUGGCCCCGUCGCUGUGACCCAAGUGGCCAACACAGUCAGGUUGCCAUACUGGGUAAGACGAUAUGCAUUCUACAUUCUCCUGCUGCUGAUUCUUCCCACACUGAGUGGUUUGCUGCCAUUUGCUUCAAUUAACGAAUGGAAGGUGCAUUUUUCUGAGAAGUUAGCUUUUUGGAGUUCUGGUAUUGGGUACGAAGAGACAUUUGGAAAUAUAUAUGGUCCAUGAGAAGUUUGUUUUCCUGCAGUUACUCCCUGAUUAACCUUAUCUUGCAAGGUAGAAAGAUUCAGACUUCUGCUGAGUAGUGUGCUUAUGGUGCUGGUGUUGGUAACUACUGGUAUUUAUGUUGUAACUUCAAUUAAUUAACUGUUGCUCAAUGUAACCUUGGAAUAUUGGAUGGCAUACUCAAAUAUCAUGGACAGCUUGGCUGGGUUGGUCGGCACAGAAUCUGGAUACCUAUUUCAUGAUCUUCAAAUCUACUAUGAUGGUGAACAUUGCAGUUGUUAUCAGGUGGACACUAAGCAGUAUCCAAAGCAGCAAAUAUUUCCAGGUUACUUGAUAAGAUGAUAAAUGUUGUAUCAAUAUGUUGCCGAUUUUUCCUGCAUUGUUGCUGUUUGCUUCAAAUAAUAACUGGAAGUUGAAUUUCUUUUAGAAGUGAUUUAUCUGGAGCUCAGUUAUUGGCAAUGAGGGAGAUACAUGUCAGAAAUAUACUUGUGAGUUCUAAACUUGAUUCUGCAAAGUUGUAGCAUCCCAAGUUUUAUGGAACAGUUAAUGCCAUUAUCAAAGAUGCUUUUUGAAAUGACUAUCAAAAAGAUGGAAUCAAUGUAUGCAGAGCUGAAGAAUGGACUCCUCAAAAUUGAAGGACAAUCUGAGAGGUUCAGUAACAUUAUUUAGUGUUGUUGUAACUUUAAUGAAUUCAUCAAUCACUGGUUAUUGUUGCUUUAGAAUCAUCUGGUAUUUGUGUUGUAACUUUAAUGAAUUAUCAACCACUGCUCUUUUGUGACUU